CUAGUCUGACGAGUGGAAAAUAUAAAAUAAAAAACAAAAGCGUGAACAAUAUUAUAUCUCAUAUGAAAAUCUCCUCCAGCUCCUAAAAAGCAAAAGUUUAUUGGGUCUUCAGCUCCAACAACUUAAUCUUUACGACGAUAUGGAAGGGAAAAGGAAAAUGUAGAUAUCCCGCGGGACGUAAAAAUGAGGAUUAAUCGCUGGACGUUCAAUUACAUUUUAUGAAGAGGAAUCCCUAUAAUUCCUCAGGCAAAUUGCGCUCCUUUUUUUCCACCUCUAUAUACCGGAUUAUAGUUUUUUCUGAUAAAUCAUCUUGGUAAGCUGCAGGGGGUGAUAAAGUCGAGCCAGGCAUGAUGAAUUUCACACGCACCCCGGGAGACACGCAAAAUCGAUGGUGGAAUUCCUGUUAACUGUGCGAUGGUCCAGGAAAACGCCAAUUCCACUCAUAGAUCAUCCACAGAAAUGUUGGGGACAGUGAUCUCUUCUCCAAAACAAUUUUUUUCAUCAACAAUCGGUUGAUUUUCUAUUACAUUGGAUUCUCACAGAGGUGAUAAAUAAAUAUUCAGAAAGAGUGCAAAUAUUAUAAUGAAUUAUAAUUAUAAUAUAUGGGUUGAUAGGUCAACGAAAUUAAUCGAUAACCGAGAAAGCUCAUUCAUAACAAAAUUAGAGUUGGUGUGGGCAGCAAAAGAGUUGGAAAUUUCAUGCAAUGUGGCACAUCAAGGAUAAACAUGUCAUUCAAGACUAAUUAUAUUCAGAUGAUAAUGGAUACAUAGUGGUAUUAUGAGUGGCAAUGAAAGUGCACCGACAGACGAGUUUUAUUAAUUCUAGUUGUUACUUAUAGUUAUGGGCAGUUCAGCGGAGAUACAGAUAUAGAUCGAACACAU